rnacentral:lncRNA from 1 species
CCCACCCCCACCCCCAGAGGGGAAGGUAGAGGAGUUGCCUCAUUUCCAGCUGCUGCAGAAGGAGGAGGGAUUGGGUGUGUGCCCAGCUGCGGGGCUCAGGUACAGAUGGUCCAGUGUGCGCUGGGAGGACCCGAGGAACGGCCCAGCAGAUGUGGAAACUCAGAGAGGAUGCCACUGUUUUGAACUAUUUUGAAGGCACAGCCACCAGAGCUUUAGGGACAGGGUAUUUUAUCACAGCAACAGAAAUGAAACCAAAACAACUCCACAAUAAAAUUCUUGAGUUUCUUGGGGCCAAGAAGAUGACACGAUAAGAUAAAGACACUGGCCAAGCAUGACCUCCAGAGUUUGGCCCUUGCAUAAAGGAGAAAAUUAAUUCCUUCAGUUGUUCUCUGACCUCCACAUGCGUCCUGUAACAUGGGUGUAUGCAUACACAUAAACACACAUCCACACGUUGUUAAAUAAAUAAAAAAAAUAUGUUAACA